rnacentral:piRNA from 1 species
UAUUCGAAAAAAGUUACUCAA